UACCGAGGUCCCGAGCGUUGUUCGGAUUCACUGGGCGUAAAGGGUGCGUAGGUGGCUUGACAAGUUUGAUGUGAAAUCUCCGGGCUUAACCCGGAAAAUGCAUUGAAUACUGUAGAGGCUUGAGGUUUGGAGGGGGGACUGGAAUUCACGGUGUAGCAGUGAAAUGCGUAGAUAUCGAGAGGAACACCAGUGGCGAAGGCGAGUCCCUGGACAACACCUGACACUGAGGCACGAAAGCCGGGGGAGCAAACAGG
rnacentral:rRNA from 1 species